rnacentral:lncRNA from 1 species
CUAGAUUCUCCCCACCCCAGAGCUCUGACUUGGGAAAUUAUAUUUUCUUUUGCAUUUCCAAGUGAAUUGUGAAAAACUGGAUUUGUAUAAUAGUAAGUAUACAUCCAUGUGCACUACAUUAAAUUUGAAAAUUAGGCCCCAUUCAUGAUCGUUACUUGGAAGUUAAUUGUGGUAACUUGCUCUUCCAGAACAAAAGCAUGAAGCCUACUGGAGCAAUCUGCUAACCAGAUGAUCACCUGGGUGAUCCGGCUGUUCCAGAACCUUAGGAGAACUACUCAUACUAUACAAUCUCGCUUUACACGUGAAAUGAUAGCCUUUGGAUAUUCAUGGUAUAUUGUAGACUGAAACUUCAGAUAUAUCAACAGGUGCACUUAAACUAACUCCAUGGGACGUAGCAAAAAUGAACAAGAGAGAGUUUACACCCAACCAACCAUCGGGAGCUCUGUGCUGCAGAGGUCUGGACCUCACCCUGGUGCAAAGCCUAUUGUCCACUGGAUUAUUAGUUCACAGGCAAUGCUCACCGAGAGUCUCUUCUACGUGACAUGUAGUAAGAACCACAGACCCCCUCCAAUGCCUGUUCCUCAAACCCCCACCCCUUGGUUGCAUCUUAGUCUGUUUUCAUAUUGGAUUUGUUCAUCUCUCCAAGGUUGAAGUUGAAUUCUUUGAACACUUGUAUGAGGACAAUUCCCACGGAGACAGUUGUAAAUCCACAGGCCAUGCCCAAGAAGUCCACCAGGCCCACAUUGCUCCACUCCCGGAAGAGGAUGGCUGAAGCCAGUAGGACCAGCGUGGUAAACACAACGUAGUAGAUGGCCCCAAAUACAGAGGAGUCGAAGCACUCCAGGGCCUUGUUGAUGUACCUGAAUUGGACAAUGAUGCUGCAGCCCAGGACAGCCAGGAGCACCAGGCACAGGCAGAGGGCUCUCUGACUGGAUGGAUUGUUGUGCAAGAUGUCUUGGGCUGCCAGCCCAAUGCCCUUGGUGGAAGGCACAGUGAAACUCCCCAGCAAGGAGCAGAUGCUGAUGUAGACCAUGAUGUUGGUGGGCCCGUGGGCUGGUGCGAUCCAGAAGAUCAACAGCAGCAGCAUGAGCAGCACGAUGCACAGGUAGCCCACAAACACUGCAAGACAGAUGGCACACAGUGACCAGGGAGGCCAUCCCCCCAAACACCAUCAAGAGGUCAGAGCUGAACCAGGGCCCGAUCCCUUUCCAGCCACCCCUUCAACCAGGGGGAGAGAGACCUAAGGGAGGACAGGUAACCAACCACUCAAUAGCUCUAACUUAAGUUUAUUAACACUCACUAAGUCCAUUCCACAAAAAAAGAUGAGACGGUUAUGUAGCUUAGUGGUAGAGCACUUGCCCAACAUACUCAAGGCCCUGGGUUUGAUCCCAAGCGUGGUAAAACAGAAAAUGUAUAGCUCCAAGCUACUGCAGCCACAAGGGUAAUGUUAGGCCAGAAGAACUGUUGCCUUCCCAGGAAUGUCCAUGCCUAGGAAUCUUUGCCUUGAGUUCUUUACCAUUAAAGACCUCAUUAUAAUUCUGCCUCUGGUUGGAUACAACCCUAACCAGGCUACAACUACCCAAUGCCCCUCCAAAUGGAAGGAAACAUGCUCUAAUGAAAAAAAAAAAAUCCAUCCCCAGGACUCCCAGGACCAAGCCUGGAGUAGCUGAAGAAACUGUGACCACCUCCAUCGACAGGAAGCCCUUCAUAGCUCCCAACAGAGCUGUGAAAUGCUGCCCUAAAGUGUCAUAACUACUAAUAUUUAUAUGACCUACUCCAUUAGUAUCAUUAAAAACAACAACAAAAACAGGUUUACAAACCUGAGAUCAAACAGAC